CAAAUUUGCUAAUGUCAGAGUUUAUUUGAACUGGCCAAAUCAGUGGACACUGUAAUCUAUGAGACUUUGGGAGUUCCAAGAAUAGGACAUAUGAACAUAAGGCAUUUCAACUUUCAACUCUCUAAAACUGCCUGCAGUGCCACUUAACAAUAAUAAUCAAAACAUGCAAUAGAAGAGACACCCAUAGCUUUUCUCAUAGCACGUCAGGUAUAGGCCAGAAUGAAGAUGUGCCACAGCUUAUACAAUGGAAAAAGUGGAUACACAAGGGUUCUCAAUGAUAUCUCCGAAAAGUGAACCCAAGUAAGUUGAGAAAAUAUCUUGAAGAGAAAUGGUCCACCAAAGAUCCAAUCUUCGAAUCUAAUUGCACAAGGAUACAUACAUGAGACUACUGCAUAGACAUUUGGCGUUGAACUGGUUCCCGGCUAGAAGACGAACCCAUCUUGCGAGAUACCUUAGUACUGGAAAUAUCUUUACAAACCUUCCCACUAAUUGUAAAAUGCCUUUUAAGGCGGUUUGUUAAUGAAGAACCAUUAUAAUUCCACCUUGGCACUGCUCGAAGCCAGUUUUUCCUCAACCUUCCCUUAAUGUGAGUAUAGGCUUCACUAUUGUUGUGACUCCCUAGGGCUUCAGAAAUCACUACCCCUCUGUUUCUCCGUAUGGAUCUUAGGGCCAC
rnacentral:misc_RNA from 1 species